GCGGCGGCGCCGUGGCGCUGCGGUGGAAAGGGCAGCCGGUGUCCUUCUGCUCGCUGUGGCCGCCGGCGUAGCAGCGGUAGCUGAGCUGGGAUACCGACGUCACAUCAUGGUUUUGAUGGCGACCGCACGUCCCGGGAUUGGUGGACGACGAGGCUGAUACGGUCACGUGUGACGCUCGCUCGCCGGGGAAAAGCAUAUGCCGUUUGCGGCAUGCACGUCUGCAGCUUUGACCGGAGAGCUGCUCGCCGGCCGCCGGAGCUGGGCGGCGGUCCGUCCGGCCGGUGGGAAGGACGUACGCGAAACGUAAGCGUGUGCGGCGGUGUAGUGCAAGCGCCUGGCUCCAGAUGCUGACUGCACAUACAAAAGAUGCUGACUGCCAGGCGUUUGCACUAGGAUAAUGGAGAUGGAGAUGGUAUAUACUCCGAAGGCAUGAAGACAGGUAUUUGCUCCAGGAAACUCAAGACAUGAUGGUUCCGUUUUGGACGAAAAAGAAAAGUAGCACCACUGUGUUAACCCAAUGCUUAGUAGGGCCUCCCGAAUGUAUGCACAUUGAAGUCGAAUAGCAAGAUGGGAUAGCUCGAGAGGCAAAGGGCAAGAUGUGCAGACGGCAGCAAUGUUCGAAUCUUCUGGAACAUGCAAGUCUACGGCAGGCGGCAACUAUCCGUAGACCUGAGAGGUGCAAGCCUGCUAUCCUGGAGGUCGUAAUGAACCCUAAAUCGAUUCUUCUAGCUGCUCCUGUGUAUUCAUUUCCCAUGUAAUGAACUCCUGACCCAAU